rnacentral:misc_RNA from 1 species
UUUCUGUAGGUGAACCUGCGGAAGGAUCAUUAUUGUAUAACCGAGGUGCGAGGGCUGUCGCUGACCCGAAAGGUCGUGCACGCCCGAGUGCCCUCACACACAUCCAUCUCACCCCUAUGUGCACCACCGCGUGGGUCCCCCUUUGGCUUGUUCGGAGGGGGGCUUACGUUUUCACACAAACUUUGUAUGCAGUGUAGAAUGUAUUUUUUGUUUUUGCGAUCACGCAAUCAAUACAACUUUCAACAACGGAUCUCUUGGCUCUCGUAUCGAUGAAGAACGCAGC